rnacentral:snRNA from 1 species
AUCGCUUCUCGGCCUUUUGGCUAAGAUCAAGUGUAGUAUCUGUUCUUAUCAGUUUAAUAUCUGAUACAAAAAAAAAAAAGAAUAGAAGGUAGCCCUA